rnacentral:lncRNA from 1 species
UUUGGCCCGCCAAUUUCAAACGAUACCGGAGUAGCCGUAUCUGGUUCGCCGUCGAUCUCUUUUUCCGGCGACAUCUCAUUGUAAGUUAUUUCAUUUCUCUCUCCAGAUUCCAUGCUCGUAAAGUUUCUAUCAGUUCCUGGUCACAGCCAUUUUAGUAAAAAUACGAACUGUGAAUUGAGCUGAAUUCGUAUAUUCUCAAGAGUCACAUAUGAGUUCAGAAAUUGUUACACAUUGCGUGAAAUUUACAAAUUUUAAGCAGAAUUUCUGUUUACAUUUGUUCGAAUUGCUAUUCACUUUAAAACAUGCAAAUUGUCUUGUGUGGUUCAUAAAUAUCAUAUUGUAUUUGCUAUUGCAGAAAUGAAAAUUUUGGGAUGAAGAUCCGAGUAAAGAGGAAUGGAUAUAGAGGAUUCCGACUAGUUUGGGAUUGAUGCGUAGUUGAGUGAUUGAUUGAUUGUUUGUGGGAUUUUUUUCACAAUGAUAAAAAGGUUAGGAUCAUUCCGGAG